rnacentral:lncRNA from 1 species
ACUCCGGCGCUUUGGGGCGGUGGCCGUCAGGUUGUCCUCAGUGGCCUGCCUGAUCGAAGCAUCUGCGNNNNNNNNNNNNNNNNNNNNNGACCUCCGCUCCGGGCUCACUGUCGCUGUCCCGUGGCCGCUCACAUUCAGUGUCCGUGUGGAUGAACUGCCCUUAUUUUGUAGCCCACUGUCCCUCUCGCCAUCCUGCCUUCCCCUGGGCCAGCUUCCCGUCCCCCUUGCUGUGUCCCAGCCCCCGUCGCUGGCACCGUGGACUGUCUGCAUCUCGAGGUGCCCCCCGCGCCCGCGCCUCUCUCCCUCCUCAGACCCGAGCAGCAGCAGAAGAGCUCGUGGGCAGCUUCUGAGCGCCGUCUGGAGAGACGUGGUCGAGCGGGUCCAGGGCACGGACUGAGAACUUGCCCGGCCCAGUGGGACCUCACUUAGCGAAGCAGGCUCUGGAGCCCCCAGGCCCGCGGGGAGACACCUUGGGCCCUGAGUCCGCCACCCCCACCCUUUCGUCCCUCCUCGACACCGUCAACCCGCUCAGUCCCCUGUUAGCUCAGGUGCCGUCGCCGUAACUACCUUAGUUCAAACACCCUUAACUACUUUGCUGCACGAGGGCCUGUCUUGCAAAACCCAGCGCUCUGCCUGCUCCGAAGCUGCCCUCUGAGCUCCUGAAGACAUUCCCACGGCCUUGCCACGUGGUCUUGGCCUGUGCCUGGGCACGGCUUGCCCACUCGUCCAAACUGGCCUGGCUUGGGCUUCCAGGCUCUCAGGGAGGAUCUCAGGGUGCUUACCAAGGUCUCCCCACUCUGGCUGGGUUGGAACUGCAUUGUGUCCCCAGCACGACAGCAGCCCUCCCCUGCAGGACCUGUCAGGACGUGCCCCGGACAGGGGCUGCUCGGGGUUUGGCCAAGGACCUGAGCUCGUACACAGCUUACUCCUAAGGCUCCUGGUGACCCUGUGCGACCGAGACGUGGAGGACAGCCUUCUGUGUGGUCCUGUGGGAAUGAGAUGGUGCACCAGGACACGCGGGCGCUGCUUGGCCCUACCCACCCGACUCUGCCACAGAGUGCCAGCUGGGGGGUGACGGGGGGAUUGCAGGCCGGCCUCGGACAGGUGCUGGGUGCUGGACAGGGUGGAUGCCUGUGGUCAUUCUCAUCGACUUUAGCCGGUGGGCUACCCUCCCGGUGCAGGCCCUGCACAGCUUGCAGAGUGACGACUUCUGAGCCAACCCCCCUCUGACUCAGCCUAUCAUGCUGGAGAAAGAUGGCUGUUGGGGCCCCUGUUUUCACAUCCUUGAGAGGAAGAGGCCUCUGCUCUGCUCUGUCAAGGUUGGGGCUCGGUGAGAUGUGAGUGGGCGAGACAGUGCUCUGGAGGACCAGGAGAAGCACACCGGAAGUAAGAUGGAAAGGCAUCUCCACAACGUGCAGGGGCAAGCGGCGUGGGCCCCAUGGGCGGGGGCACCCCAGAGGUCAUCUUGGGCCCUGCUGUGCAGCGUGGGGGAGUGACCGGUUCCCGGCCGGGGCCCAGGAACUGCAGGCAGGCACCUGACUGCUUGGGCGCCGGAGAGCUGUGAGCAGAGGAGCCCAGUGCCCCGAACAGCAGCUCCCAGACAGAUGGAGGGGCCGGAGUGCCCACCCCAGGUCGGGGGGUGCUCGGCUCUUGUGUGGACAUUGAGGUGGCCCUGAGAGGUCAGGUGGGCCAAUUUCCCCCUUUACGGAGGGGGACAACAAGGCUCAGAAAAGUGACAGGAACGUCCUCACGUUUCCUCAAAACAAAAUGGCACAGCUGGGGACGGACCUAAUGUCCGACUCUGUAUGGCCAGUUUCAUGCAUUCAAGUGGCCCUGGAUGGGGGGACCCGAGUGAGGGGAGGCCUCGGAGAACAGCACCCCCCCAUGGAGGAACGGCUUGCUCAGUGGGCAAAGGCCUCUCUGCGCCGCAGCCUCCAGCCCUCCAGCGAAUGCGCUCAGAGUUGAACGAGCAGAGUUUCGUGUCCUCAGAAUUUCCCCCCUGGACGAUGUGAAAUCCCAGAUCCCUGCAACAACUUUAGGCACAGCAGUAAGGCCUCCUUUGCUCUGCUCUUCCUCUGCCCUCCCCUCCCACCUCCGCAGCCCUUCCAUCUGGGGUCAGCCCGCCCCCGGAGCCCGCCCUGACCC